UGCAAUUAUCUUGUAUAGUAUAGUACAACAAGCAAAUGGUUGAAAUUCCUUAACAGUAGUGGGGCUAACUGUUUUAGGAACCAGAGCAAUCAAGGUGCAGUUUACUGGUCUAUACAUCUUACCAAUAUUGAAGAACUCUUUGACAUCUGCAAUUAAGUCAUGUUUAAUGGUAUACCAGGUCUUCUUAUAGAAGUGAGCAUUGUAGCCAUCUAUGUCAGGAGCUUUAUCAUCUUUGAUACUUUUUAAUGCCUCUAUUAUCUCCUCACUUGUUACAUCUCUACUCAAUUCUAGCCCUUGAGCAUAGCUUAGAAUCUUCCCCUUUUUCAUAGUAAUUAAGUUGACUACUGGGAGAGUUUGAGAGGAAGUACCCAUCAGAUUUUUGUAAAACUCUACAAUCUCCUUUUGUAUAUCUUCAGUAGCAGAGAGUUUGUGGCCAGUCAAAGAGGUAAGCUCAAGGAUUUAUUUUUUGUAGGUUCUUUCUUUGAUCAUAGCUGAGAAAUAAUUAUUAUUAUUAGCAUCCCCAAGUCGAAUCCAUUGAGCCCUUGCUUUUUGUCUGAGAAUAUUUUCUUCAAUGCCUGACCAUUUUUCUAAGUUCUGCUUACACAUCUUCUCUUUAGCCAGUAACUCAUCUAUACAAUUUGUAGCAAUUUGGUCUUGAGUAGACUGUAGUUCCAAUAUGAUUAGUUCAAGCUUCUGAGCUAUAUUCUUAAACUCUACAGAGUUAAGAUUCUUCAGAUGAGGUCUUAGAUCUUUAAGUUUCUUCCAGAUUCUAGCCAUACUUCCUCCUUGAACUUGAGUGUUCCAACUUGUAAUUACUAUGUUUUGGAAGGAUGGAUGUUCAGCCCAAACAUUAAAAUAUGUAAAAGGAGAUUUGAUGCUUUGAUGAAUGCUAUGGAUAGUUAAAAUCAUAGGGGCAUGGUCAAAAACUUGAGGAAGUUCAUAUUGUGUCAUAACAUGUCCCCAUUUCAUUAUCCAUUCGUUAUUGUCAAACAUCCGAUCAAUUCAACUACAUAUUCUAUUAGUUCCCUACUGCUUAUUGGACCAAGUAUAAUACGCACCUUUCCAAGGUAUUUUACACAAGUGCAGGUUCUGAAUACAAUCCACCAGAUCUUUGGUUUCUACUGCUGUAACAAGAGCUCCCUAAAUUCUAUCUGAAGGCCAUAUAACAGCAUUAAAAUCUCAACCAAAGAUCCAGGGUUGAUUAAUCCCCUGUCCUACUUCCUUCGACUUUUUCCAUAAUCUUUUCCUAGUCUCCAAGGAAUUAAAACCAUACACCACAGCCAACAAGCAUAUGAACCCUCCAGCAGCAUCAUUAACUUGACAGUGAACCAUUUUAGCAUUAGACUGGAGAUAGUGGACUGUGUAUAUAGUAGUAUCCCAAUAGAUCCAUAUCCUGCCAUUUGUAGCAUGCUGAUAGUUGUUAAUAGAGCUCCACCCGAGACAAAUAUUUCUAGUAGCCUUAGCUAUAUUAUGUUGCUUAACUCUUGUUUCUACUAGACCAAUUAACUUUAUUUGUUUACCUCUAAUGAGCUUUUUGAGCUCUUUUUGCUUAUAGCUCUUAUUCACUCCUCUUAUGUUCCAAAUAAGGCAACUUAUUAUAAAGAUUUUGAGGGACCCCUUUAUCAAGAGGUUUCAAUAUUCUACUAUUCUCAAUCUGCUUUUUCUUGAUACUUAUCUUUGCAGGCACUGAUCUUACUGGGGGAAAUCACUCAGGUUAUAUGCAUAUGUAGGUUUAGAUAUAUCUCUGAUCGGAGGCAAGGGAGAAUUGGAUCUCUGUCUGUUAGGACUAUGCUGGGGUUGAAUAGAAGAAUUUUGAGGCGCAUGAUGUCUAGUACCACUGGAUUCUCCCACUUCAAGCACCUUUGUCACUUCUACUUCUUUACCCGUUGUGUUAUCCACCACUGUAGGGGCUUGUGCUAUUGUUAUCUUCCUUUUACAUGGACAUUCUUGCUCCAUCUUUUUGUAAGGCUCCUUUGGUUUACCUUGCUCCUUAGGGUUGGGUAGACAACUAUGACCAACUACUUUGCAAUAAGAGCAAAACGUAGGCUUCCAGUCGUAAAUAACUGAUUGUUUAAACUUUCUCCCAUUAGGCUCCAUUACUAGCACUUCAUUAGGCAAGUCCUUUGUAACAUUUACCUCAAUUAGCAUUUGAGCAACGGAUAUUCUAGUCUGCUUAGUUGUACACCCAUCCACAUAGACAGAAAUGUCAAUGACACUGGCUAUUCUACUUAGUGAAUCUCUUACCUAGUAGAACAUCGGAAGCUUGGGAAAUUUAACCCGCAGAGGUAUCUCUGUAGGAUAUUCUGUGUUGAAAUCAAAGUCCAUCGGCCAAGGCUUCAGAAUAAUGGGGGGUCUGUUAUUAACAGUAUAAGGUCCUGAAUAGAGCACCUCUUCCAUAUCUUCAAUAGAUGCAAAUCGAACGACAUAAUAUCCCUCCUCGUGAUGAUACUGCUCUGCGGCAACUACAUGGUCCAGUAUUGUCUAAUAUAUCUACUCAGUGCAUUAUAACUUGGGGUAUCCCCUACAAAAUAUGCUAUUAGAGCACAAUUCCAUUUAGCUGCUUCUUUAUCAACUUUCUAUUUCUCAAGUGGCACCACUGCUUGUUCCUCAAUUAGUUGGGGGGGGGACGCAAAUCGUAUGACAUAAUAUCCCUCCUCGUGGUAAUACAGUUCUGGGUCAGCCACAUUGGUCCAGUAUUGUCUAAUAUAUCUAUUUAGUGCAUUAUAUCCAGGUGUAUCUCCAACAAAAUAUGCUAUGAGAGCACAAUUCCAUUUAGCUGCUUCUUUAUCAACUUCCUCUUUCUGAAGUUGCACCACUGCUUGUCCUUCAAUUAGCUGGGGAGGGAUGUAUGAUAGUAAAAGUCCAUUUGCAGCAGCCCUAUUUUUUGUAAAUAAGCUCACCCAUGGAGCAACCGGUGUUUCAAUUUAUUCUUCUUGGAUUUACGCAGGGGCGGGAUUUGGGAUUUCUGCUUCAGUGAUUAUUCCUGGAUUCGAUCUAGACCCUUACUCCACUUGCACAAUAUUGGUCAAAUUAGGAUUAGAUUGAUUAGUACCUGACACUCCUUGACUAUGGGGGAGGGGGUUAAAAUCAGGCACUUUGAGAUUCCCCUCUGUCCUAGCUCAUCUUCCUCUGUCUAUAUCACUUCUCUGUCGGUUGUUCAAUCGGGUGUGACCAAAGGUGUUAUGUUGCGAGCUCCAUGUGACUCUCUAACAUUUGUUAUCAAAUUAAUUCUAGGUCUUCCUUAUCCUCUACCUCUUCCACGGUCGCGACCUUAUGUUCUAUCCAUGGCAGCCACCACCAGCGUACGUUAGACUAACGUGCGCCGAGAGCCAUCUAAUUUUGACUAACAUUAGACUAAUGCAGAAGAUCAUUGUAGUUACUAAGGUGCAUAAAUCAUGGGAUUUAUGCAUCAGAAAACAAAAGAAUUUGUUGUCCAAAAAUAUCAAGACGUAUUCCACGAAAAGAGAAAGAUUUGUUGCUCUAAAUAGAUUGAAGAAAAACUCGAAAAAAGAUAUUGUUAAGUAUCAAGAGACACAACAUUCUAGGAAAGAAGAAAGUUCUGUUGCAUUAAAUGAAUUGCUUAAAUCAAGGGAUUGUCACAUCUCUCUCUUCUAGGUAUAUAUUGUACUUAUUUAGAUUUUCCUAGUCUUUACUUGUUCUUCAUUUUCUUAAGAAGAAAAUCAUUUGGUUGCCUUCUAACUUCCAACGGCUAGUAGUAGUUCAAUCAUUACUAUAUAAGCAUUGAAAGUCAAAAGAAGAAAUAUACAUUUGUCUCAACCUUAUCUAGUUUUUUGCUCUACUUUACUCAAACAUUGUAUUCUCUUAAAAGUUUAUUGUGUACUCAAAAAGAGAGAAAGAAACACAUAGUUGGUGGGGCAUUGGAUCAAAGUGAGAAAGAAAGAAAGAGAGUGUGAGUUUAAGUUAAAAAGCUUGAUUUAAUCUUGUACUUUGAUUUUAUUGAAUCUCUUGCAAUCCAAGGGGACUGGAGUAAAACCUAUUAGAGAUCUCAAUUAAUAUAAAAUAUCUGGUGUUAUUUACCUUUAGGACUUUAUUUUUUGAAGUUUUUAUUACUUCAAUCAAUAGUCGGUUGUCUAUUGAAGGAAGACGAUUGUUUGGUCGAAAAAAGAGUAAUUCUCCCCCUCUCUUACUACUUUCGAUAUUGGGGGUUCGAACUCGAGGAAUAGAGAAAUUUUUAGUUAAGACAUUUGGAGCUUUCACUGCCUUCUGCUGGAAUUGUUAAAGAGGUUUUUUUUUUUUAAUGAUUCAUGAUUGUCUAGCGAUGUAUAUCUUUGGAGUAUAGAAUACAUUUUCUUUCUUCAUAUUUUAGUGGUAUACAGUAGUAAGAGAUACAUUAUAUCACAAUGCAUGUUGUAUACUAUUGAUAUAUGAGUAUACCUCUCUUCCAAUGUGAUGCCACCACGAUUAAAGCCUAUUUAUUCUUUUGUGAUGGAAUUCAAUAUGUUCUUAAUCCAUAUCUAUCAUAAUUUUUAGGUUAGCGAAUGCAUUUUUUCUAUUAUUUAAGUUUGGUGCAUAAGAAGAUUGUCCUCAAAAUUAUACAUCAAUAAUUAUGCCUCAAAUUCUGAAAGUCCUUAUGCAUUGCUUUGUAAUUUGAUUAGUUUUCAUUAUUUAUACCAAUAACUUUUUACCCUAUAUUAAAUAUUAAAUAUUAAAAGAGCCAUCAAAUAUAUGCUAAAAGGAAAAUAUAAGAAGAAUUAGUAUUGGUAGUUUUUUUUUCUUGUAUACGUGAAAAAGGAAUACUAAAAUAGAUUAUAAGAAAAAAGUUUUAAAAUAUUUUUAGAGAAGGACCGAAUGACCCAAGUUGGUAAAGACUGAAAAUGGUCGAAUGAUCCAAUGAGUGACAUUAGUUAGUUAGGCCGCCAUGACAUAAAAUGUCUAUAGGCCCAAACUUGGGUCAUUAGUUUUAAAAUAGGUCAGGCUAUGUCAUUUUUCCAAAAAGAAUCCUAAUUUUAUUUCUAAAAAAUUCACAAAGUGGCAACUUAAGUAUUACUUGUUAGUUAUUAUACAAAAUCUCAACUCUCAAAACAUAUUACAAAAAACCUACUUUUUCAAUUACUCUCUCUAAAAGUAUAUAUACAUAACUUUUCUAAUUUUGUACUGUUUGUUCUCCUUGAAAGAAGCCUAAAAUCAAGGAGUCAUUAUGUAAAGGUUACCAUUUUUUAAUUCAUUAUUAUGUUUGAUUCAAACUCUUACUCAAUUGCAUUCAAUUCUAACAAUAACAAAAACGCCAUUUUCAACAUUCUGUAAUUUUUAAGAUCUGAGCUUAGCUAAUUUUUUUUCGACUUUACCAAAAAAUCAUAGAUUUUGAUUGAAUAAUUUCUUGCAUGUUAUUCAUUUAAUAGAAUAAGUUCAAACUCUUGUCUUUUUCCAACUUUGAGUAAGAUUUUUUUUUUACUUUACCAAAAAUUAAAAUUCUAUAGAAUAAGUUCUUGCAUGUACUCCAUUCACUCAUUAUUACUUAGUAAAUGGGUGAUACUCCAUCUUUUAGUUUAGGAUUAACUUAGUUAAACCAUUGUGAACCAACAAAUCAUGUUAUUGGAUUCGUUCCCGGAGAACUUAGUUACGAGGCUCCUAAUUUUGUUGAAAACAGAUCGAAAUAUCGUAACGACCCUAUUAAGAUGAAGAAGCUCAGAAAAGCUACUGAUCGAAGUUCAAAAAAUCAAAUUCAACGGAUAUUAUUUGAUUUUUUAAUUUUUUGAUUUUUCAUCAAUGUGAGUUUUUUUAUUUUUUAUUUUUGAACAUGAUUGUUAAUUUUGCAGUAUUAUGUGGGUUUUUCAUACUUUUGAGGGUGCAUUAGUAGUUACAAGUGGAUAUACAUAUCAAUACUUAUGUAUAUGAUAGACAUAUACAUAAGUGUUGCUACGUCUUUGAAAUAUAAUGAUAUGAUUGUUUAUUGUACUUGGAUAUAAUAUUUUUUUCAUCAAUGUGAGGUUUUUUGAUUUUUUUAUUUUUGGAUAUGGUUGUUAGUUUUGCAUUAUUAUGAUGGGUCUUUUAUGAAUUUGAUGGUGCAUUAGUAGUUGCUAGUGUAUAUACAUAUCAGUACGUAUGUAUAUGGUAGACAUAUACAUAACUGAUGGUACGUAUUUGAAAUAUAAUGAUAUGUAUAGUUCAUAUACGUCACAGACUUGUGUAUUGUGUUUUUGUAUUUUCUGUAGGAAUUGUUUGGCUUAGUUAUAGCAAUAAACAUAUCAGAAGUUAUGUAUAUUUGUUACUGUUAUGUAUAUUCAAUAUGGACGUGACAGAAAGGUCUAUGGGAUUAAGUUGUUUUGGAGUAUGCUUUUACUGAUUUUCUUGGUGCAAUAUGCAUAUCAGUUUUUUUCAGUAAUGUGAGAUUUUUAUUUUAUUUUUUUUGAAUAUGAUUGUUAGUGUGGGCAGUGUUAUGUAUGUUUUUUCAUUGAUAUGACUGUGCUUUAGUAGUGGUUAGUCAACAUAACAUUAAAUGUGUAUGUAUAUUGUUUACUUGCAGGGACUGUGGAGUGUUUGUCCUGGGUAUGCAGAAUACCCAAGUGGAGAAAUUGUUGUGCCUUCAGUUAAUUUUGAAGCAGAAUAUCAUCGUAUGAGAUACGCGUCACUCCUUUGAAAUUACGAUUUACAAAAAGUGAAGAAAUAUUAUGUUAGUGACAAUAAUGACCCUGUAAGACCAAGGACAAAAUAUGUCUCCAUACUUGAUGAAAUAGGAAUAGUUAGUAUUGAAUAGUCUUAAAGAUACUUAUGGUGAAGAUUCUUUUUUUCUUUUUGUGGAUUUGUUAGGAUUCUGAAUUAUUAAACUAAUUUAGGUAUUUUGGAUAUACAAAGUUAUCGGAACAUAUUAACGUAUGUUUUUAAAUUAUUAGUUAAACUGUGUUUCUGUA
rnacentral:lncRNA from 1 species